rnacentral:misc_RNA from 1 species
UUAACUAUUAUAUGGUACUCAGACAACACUAAUAUUCAGAGUUUAGGGGUCCUUUGGCGGGCACUUACCAGCCAGAGCCGGUAGCCGAAGCGGCCCGCCAAAGCAACAAAGGUAUAGUAUUCAAGGGUGGGAGAUCUACCCGUGAGGGCAUGAACUCUGUAAUGAUCCUUCCGCAGGUUCACCUACGGAAA